ensembl:lncRNA
GGAGUUGCUAACUGUUCACCAUCCUUCCACUGCUUGAGGAUUCUGAUUCCCAUGGGAACAUGACUGUGGCCAGGCGCCUUAGAGCGGAGUAAGGAUCUGGUCCUGCCGCUUGUUGUCUCUGCUCCCACUGCCCCAUCCUUCUGCUCAUCCCUCCUCUCUGACCUCCUUGGGGCUCCCACUGACUUUUCUUCACUUAAUUGACUGCCUUGAAAUACAGUUGUUCUGUGCAGUGGAAACAAGCAUUUCAUUAUUAUCCUCAGUGUUGAAAACGAAAAGUGGGAAAAAUAAGCCAGAUGCAUAGUGACAUUGGGAAAAAGCAAAGGCUAACUUUGUUAAAAAGCUUCUUUGUGGUAUCAGGCAGGAAGUGAAAUGGCUUUAAAUGGCAAACAUUUCUCAAUCAUUGAAUGCACCAGUAACCUUGGUGCUCUUUUUCUUCUGUCGACUUGAAGGAAAAAAAAAAAAACCCAGAAUGCCCAGAUAUAACUCAGACAAGAGAGGGCAAAGUGUCUGAAUCAGUGCAUUGUCACAGAGCCCCUCAGAAGGCUGGUCAUCCCUUCGGAGAAGAUUCACGGAUGAAUCGAUGAUGGACAUGUAUAGCUAUCAGGCUCAAGAGAGUUGGACCACAAGGAAGACUGAGCACCGAAGAAUUGAUGCUUUCAAAUUGUGGUGUUGGAGAAGACUCUUUAGAGUCCCUUGGACUGCAAGGAGAUCCAACCAGUCAAUCUUAAAGGAAAUCAACCCUGAAUAUUCAUUGGAAGGACUGAAGCUGAAGAUCCAAUACUUUGGCCACCUGAUGUGAAAAGCUGACUCAUUGGAAAAAAACCCUGAUGCUGGAAAAGAUUGAAGGCAAAAAGAUAAGGGGAUGACAGAGGAUGAGAUGGUUGGAUGGCAUCACUGACUCAGUGGACGUGAGUUUGAGCAAACUCUGGGAAAUGGUGAAGGACAGGGAAGCCUGGUGUGCUGCAGUCCAUGUGGUCACAAGGAGCUGGACAUGACUUAGAGACUGAACAACCACCAGGCUCAAUCCUUUGGGGGCACUUGAUUCUGGAAACAGAGGAAAGUCAAGCAUUGUAACUUCCUUUAAGAAAUGCAUCUGAUUUGUGGUCCGUAAUUGUCAUAAUCCUUCAGUGCCCUCAGGGCUAGUAGUUAAUUUUGUGUGUUGGGGUUGGGCUGGGCCCAUGUGUACAACUCAGUGCUGGCAGUAGGCUUUCCUGGCCCCUGUGGGGAAUCCUAUUCUAGAGUUUUCUGUCUAGAAGCCUAGUAAUAGAUCACUCCCACUUUGGUACCCAGCCAAGUGAUGAUGAUGCCAGCUCUCCUGCAGUGAGGACAUUCUGUAUGCCAAGGGCUCUACCCAUAUCUUCUCCACUAGCUCUUAUUGAAAUGGAGCAGGACCCUAUGGUCCUUCCCCAACUUGCCCUCCAUCUGCCGUUGGUCCGUAGAGAAACUUAAGCCAAGAAAUGAAUUUACUCAUCAGAGAAGUGUGAGAAGGCAGAAGUGAAGAAAAGCAGUCAAACAGGACAGAACAAUAGUUUAGUCAGUAAGCAAAGUCAAGGACCUUCAGUUCAUUCUCAAGGGCUAUAGAUAAUAUUUUGAGCCAUAUCCUGUGAGCUGUCUUGUAGAUACUGAAACCCCCAUCAGGUGGAAGAAGUUAACUACAUGAUGACAAGAAGGUAGCCAUGACAUAAGCUGCCACAAUUCCAAGAACUGGCCUCAGAGAUAUGGGAACAAAUCGACCCUGGAACAGAAGAUUAACUGUACUUAAAACAAUCAAGAUGACGCUGAUCAGACCACUGCAUGACCAAUUUCAAGGUGACUGUCAGAGCUGACUGCACUGUUUCUACAUGUAGCUCCCUCUAUCCACCUAUAAAAGCUCUUGUCCCCUGAUUGUCAGGGGUUGGGGCAGGAGUCGGACCUUUAGACAGGUGUCUACUCUCCUCCUCAUCUCCUCCUGGGUUGCUGGCAUCCAACAUAAAGCUAACUUUCUUUCCCACCAACUUGCUUCUUUCUUAGCUUUAUUGGCGAACGUAGGGACCUCCAUUUUCAGUUACAUUAUGAUCCCUUUGUAAGGGAUGUUGUUAACUCUAUCUAUACAGAUAAGAAAACAAAGGUCUAAAAAAAAAAAAAAAAAAAACCCUCUUGGAGGCCACAGAGCUAGUAACUGUGGGAGCAGGGCCUUCACACCAGCUGAAGGUGCUUCCCAUCAUCUGUCUCAGUGACCCUCGGGGGGCCUGGUGAAGUGAUGCCCUCCGUGCUAACAGGCUACCACUUGGGGCUUUGCUCCAUUCUCAGCUCCUCUGGCCCCUCCGGCACUCUUGUCCACCUCUGGUCUCAAUUCCCUGCAGCUUUCCUCAGUUUACUUCAGCCUCUCACCUGAAAGGACCCAGUCAGUACUGGCUCACCUGCAAAUACCUGGUUGAGGGGUGGCGGUUUGGGACCACAGGAGAAUGGGAAAAACAGAAAUAGGCAGGAAGUUCUAGGAACCUCCAUGAGGAGCUUUCUCUUGCUUUUGGCUUCAGGGUGGGAACUGACAGGUCUGUGCUGUGUCUAAGUGGCCAGGGCAGCAGGACAGGCCCCUGGCCUCCAGCGCACAGCGUAUUUAUAGGGACCUCCCAACUUGCCAUCUUCCCGUCUGGGGAGACAGCAUGGCUAGAAACAUCCCCUGGAGAUGCAAGGCGCCCAGGGCUCCUGGUAAAGAGCACAGCCAGGGAGGAAGUGCCCUGAGGCUGCUGGGCGAGCCGGAAGUGGGAGCUGUUUCUAGCACAGAGGAUGUGGCUCAAGACAAGGUAUGAGAAACGAAAGUCAAGGAGGAAGUAGAAGUGGGAUCCGUAGGUGCCUUGAGGACAAGGAAGUGGCUUUGUUGCCAAAGGUGGAAGGAGGAAACAGUCUCAGGCGGAGGGCUGAGGGGGUGUGGAGGCUGUUUUCUCUCUUGUGAUGUCUGCUGGGGUAGGGGUGGCAUUGGAGCCUGCAGGCUAGACGUGUGCCUCAGGGAGUCUUGGUCAGUGCUUGUAGAAACCACCCUCUAGGAGAAAUGUCACUUCUCAAGGCCAUGGAAUAUCGGGUUCAAGACGUUGAGUUGGCUGGCCUUGGCUUGUGUUUUAGUUCCUGGCCAUGGGGGACCCUGGAGGAUGGCUGGGCCCCGGCAGGUGCUCCAGGAAGGAAGCUCUAGGGGUUCAUAAUGUCUACCACGUGCUUGCACUGACGAUACACUGGGAUUUACAGGUAUCAAAUACUUUCUCCCUCACAAGAACCCCAUGAAGUGGGCAAAUGCUAUGACCCACACUUCACAGAGAUAGCACAGCUGAGAGUCACAGUCUAGUAGAGUUUAUUUGGCAGCUUGAUUUCAAUCAGAUUGCAGUGUUGCCAGAAUCAGAAUUCUUUCUGCCAAGCUGCUUGUUCACAUAUAGGUCUUGCCUAGAACAUUCUCCUGCUGAAUGUGAACAAGGAGCAUAAUCAGAGGCUGCUGUGGGGUCCAGGGUCCUUUUGAAAAUCAGAUGAAAGCCAGUCUAUAAGAGCACAAAGGUCCUUCAAUUUUAGGGGUAAAGGACCCUCUGUAGUGCUCCUUUAAGUGUCUAAAUGUCCACAGACUCCAUUCAGGAACUCCUGAGAUAAGGAAAAGGAAGCUGAAAGAAGUCAGAAAAGAAAGAACCCUCAAUGGAAACAGAUUUAGAAGUUGAGUUUUCAGUACAACAUAUACAUUCUGAAUUUGCUGCCUUUAACCACACAAGCUUAAAUAAACAUGGUUGUAUUAUCUCA